GUGAAUCAUCAAAUCUUUGAACGCAAAUUGCACUUCCUGGUAUUCCGGAAAGUAUGCCUGUUUCAGGGUCAGUUAAAUAAAAACCGGUGUUGUUGCUGCUUUUCGUGGUGACGCUUCGGAUUUGAUUUAUCUUACCUUCGUUUAAGUGACUUAAAAUUUUGAAUGAUUUUCUAACGUAUUUAAAUUUCUUACGUACGUUUGAGAUAUCUAAUACUUUAUUAGAUUCGGUCACCUUCAUAAUUCGCACCUAUAAUUUUUCAUUAAAUGACUUCAAUUCAGUUAAUAUUACCCGCUGA
rnacentral:misc_RNA from 1 species